rnacentral:rRNA from 1 species
GACGUAGGGUGCGAGCGUUGUCCGGAUUUAUUGGGCGUAAAGAGCUCGUAGGCGGCUCGUCGCGUCGACCGUGAAAACCCGCGGCUUAACUGCGGGCUUGCGGUUGAUACGGGCGGGCUAGAGUUCGGUAGGGGAGACUGGAAUUCCUGGUGUAGCGGUGAAAUGCGCAGAUAUCAGGAGGAACACCAAUGGCGAAGGCAGCACUCUGGGACGUACUGACGCUGAGACGCGAAAGCGUGGGGGAGCAAACAGG